ACUGAACGCUGGCGGCAGCUCUAACACAUGCAAGUCGAGCGAUCGGUGGACGCGUUAGCAACGUACGGUAAAGUGCGUGAUGGAGGGGGAUAACUACUGGAAACGGUAGCUACUACCCCACACCACCAGAUGUGCCCAGAUGGGAUUAGAUGGUAGGUGGGGUAACGGCUCACCUAGGCGACGAUCCCUAGCUGGUCUGAGAGGAUGACCAGGCACGCUGGACCUGUGCCCAGGUCCACACCUGUACGCGACGGGGAAGUGGGGAGUGUGGCACAAUGGUCGCGGGGCGGAUGCUGCCAACCCACGUGUGUGAAGCGGGCCUUCGGGUUGUAAAGCUCUUUCAGCGGGGAUGCGUUGCACGCAGAAGAAGGACCGGCUGACUCCGUGCAAGCAGCCGCGGUAAUAC
rnacentral:rRNA from 1 species